CUUCUCCUAUUUCUAUUAAGUAAACAUGUUUUCGAUCGACUAAGUUUCUAUAGAAUUCAUUAUUUUGUGGAUUUACUCUUUCUUUUCUAAAUUCAACAAUGAAUGGCAGAUAAAUCCAUCAAUGAUGGUGAGAAGACAUUUGCUGUGAUAAUUGGAUUAUUGGCUGGAGUUGCUCUACUCAUUGUUUUUGUUACUUUCAUGAGAAGGAUUUCUGAGGGCAAUGGUAAAUAAAUAAUGAGCAUGCAAAGUUAUCGGCUUCGCAAGUGAUCUUGCUUUUGGUUAUCUUUUCUCUUCAUUAUGUCCACUUCCUCCCUCUCUUUAUGCUUUAAUUUCUUUGAUUUAAUUACUUUAUGUUCUCUCCAAAAGUAGAGUUCAUGGAAAUUAUGAUGGAAAUAUGUACGACGGGUGCUUACCUAAAAUCAAAGUUAAAUGGAGAGUGAGAAAAAAAAAAAAAAAGGCUAAAGAUUCCAAUCUCCUCUCCACUUAACAAAAGUGUGUUGUCUAAUAUGAAAAAAAAGAAAGAGGCAUAUUCUUUUGUAAAAGGGCAGAUGAUCUUUCCUUUUUGUGAUUUCUUUUUCUGUAUGUAAUUGUUUUGUGCUUUCUGAAAUGUCCCCUUAUAUAUAAUUCAUUUUUGUAUGGUU